AUUGAACGCUGGCGGCAGGCUUAACACAUGCAAGUCGAGCGGAGAGAGGUAGCUUGCUACUGAUCUUAGCGGCGGACGGGUGAGUAAUGCUUAGGAAUCUGCCUAUUAGUGGGGGACAACAUUUCGAAAGGAAUGCUAAUACCGCAUAAGUCCUACGGGAGAAAGCAGGGGAUCUUCGGACCCUGCGCUAAUAGAUGAGCCUAAGUCGGAUUAGCUAGGUGGUGGGGUAAAGGCAUACCAAGGCGACGAUCUGUAGCGGGUCUGAUAGGAUGAUCCGCCCCACUGGGACUGGGACACGGCCCAGGCUCCUACGGGAGGCAGCAGUGGGGAAUAUUGGACAAUGGGCGGAAGCCUGAUCCAGCCAUGCCGCGUGUGUGAAGAAGGCCUUAUGGUUGUAAAGCACUUUAAGCGAGGAGGAGGCUACUUUAGUUAAUACCUAGAGAUAGUGGACGUUACUCGCAGAAUAAGCACCGGCUAACUCUGUGCCAGCCGCCGCAGUAAGAC
rnacentral:rRNA from 1 species